rnacentral:rRNA from 1 species
GAUGAACGCUGGCGGCGUGCCUAAUACAUGCAAGUCGAGCGAACAGAUGAGGAGCUUGCUCCUCUGACGUUAGCGGCGGACGGGUGAGUAACACGUGGAUAACCUACCUAUAAGACUGGGAUAACUUCGGGAAACCGGAGCUAAUACCGGAUAAUAUAUUGAACCGCAUGGUUCAAUAGUGAAAGACGGUUUUGCUGUCACUUAUAGAUGGAUCCGCGCCGCAUUAGCUAGUUGGUAAGGUAACGGCUUACCAAGGCAACGAUGCGUAGCCGACCUGAGAGGGUGAUCGGCCACACUGGAACUGAGACACGGUCCAGACUCCUACGGGAGGCAGCAAUAGGGAAUCUUCCGCAAUGGGCGAAAGCCUGACGGAGCAACGCCGCGUGAGUGACGAAGGUCUUCGGAUCGUAAAACUCUGUUAUUAGGGAAGAACAAAUGUGUAAGUAACUAUGCACGUCUUGACGGUACCUAAUCAGAAAGCCACGGCUAACUACGUG